rnacentral:rRNA from 1 species
UGGGGAAUAUUGCACAAUGGGGGAAACCCUGAUGCAGCGACGCCGCGUGAACGAAGAAGGUAUUCGUAUCGUAAAGUUCUGUCCUAUGGGAAGAUAAUGACAGUACCAUAGGAGAAAGCUCCGGCUAAAUACGUGCCAGCAGCCGCGGUAAUACGUAUGGAGCGAGCGUUGUCCGGAAUUAUUGGGCGUAAAGGGUACGCAGGCGGUUUAAUAAGUCGAAUGUUAAAGAUCGGGGCUCAACCCCGUAAAGCAUUGGAAACUGAUAAACUUGAGUAGUGGAGAGGAAAGUGGAAUUCCUAGUGUAGUGGUGAAAUACGUAGAUAUUAGGAGGAAUACCAGUAGCGAAGGCGACUUUCUGGACACAAACUGACGCUGAGGUACGAAAGCGUGGGGAGCAAACAGG